UACGUAGGGUGCGAGCGUUAAUCGGAAUUACUGGGCGUAAAGCGUGCGCAGGCGGUUUUGUAAGCCAGAUGUGAAAUCCCCGGGCUCAACCUGGGAAUUGCAUUUGUGACUGCACGGCUAGAGUGUGUCAGAGGGGGGUAGAAUUCCACGUGUAGCAGUGAAAUGCGUAGAGAUGUGGAGGAAUACCGAUGGCGAAGGCAGCCCCCUGGGAUAACACUGACGCUCAUGCACGAAAGCGUGGGGAGCAAACAGG
rnacentral:rRNA from 1 species